GACGAACGCUGGCGGCGUGCUUAACACAUGCAAGUCGAACGGAAAGGCCCUGCUUUUGUGGGGUGCUCGAGUGGCGAACGGGUGAGUAACACGUGAGUAACCUGCCCUUGACUUUGGGAUAGCUUCAGGAAACUGGGGCUAAUACCGGAUAGGAGCUCCUGCUGCAUGGUGGGGGUUGGAAAGUUUCGGCGGUUGGGGAUGGACUCGCGGCUUAUCAGCUUGUUGGUGGGGUAGUGGCUUACCAAGGCUUUGACGGGUAGCCGGCCUGAGAGGGUGACCGGCCACAUUGGGACUGAGAUACGGCCCAGACGCCUACGGGAGGCAGCAGUGGGGAAUAUUGCACAAUGGGCGGAAGCCUGAUGCAGCAACGCCGCGUGCGGGAUGACGGCCUUCAGGUUGUAAACCGCUUUCGCCUGUGACGAAGCGUGAGUGACGGUAAUGGGUAAAGAAGCACCGGCUAACUACGUG
rnacentral:rRNA from 1 species